rnacentral:rRNA from 1 species
AGCCAGACUCCUACGGGAGGCAGCAGUGGGGAAUAUUGCACAAUGGGGGAAACCCUGAUGCAGCGACGCCGCGUGAGUGAAGAAGUAUUUCGGUAUGUAAAGCUCUAUCAGCAGGGAAGAAAAUGACGGUACCUGAUUAAGAAGCCCCGGCUAACUACGUGCCAGCAGCCGCGGUAAUACGUAGGGGGCAAGCGUUAUCCGGAUUUACUGGGUGUAAGGGGUGCGUAGGUGGCAGGGCAAGUCAGAUGUGAAAGCCCGGGGCCCAACCCCGGUACUGCAUUUGAAACUGUCCGGCUGGAGUGCAGGAGAGGUAAGCGGAAUUCCUAGUGUAGCGGUGAAAUGCGUAGAUAUUAGGAGGAACACCAGUGGCGAAGGCGGCUUACUGGACUGUAACUGACACUGAGGCACGAAAGCGUGGGGAGCAAACAGGAUUAGAUACCCGGGUAAC